rnacentral:miRNA from 1 species
ACCUUCACACCACUGCUUAAU